rnacentral:snRNA from 14 species
AACCCGAAAGGGUCAUCCGUUAAAAUUGGAACGAUACAGAGAAGAUUAGCAUGGCCCCUGCGCGAAGGAUGACACGCUCAAAGCGAGAAGGAUUCCCCAUUUUU